CCUACCAUGGUGGUAACGGGUAACGGGGUGUUAGGGCACGACACCGGAGAGGGAGCCUGAGAAACGGCUACCACAUCCAAGGAUGGCAGCAGGCGCGCAAAUUACCCAAUCCCGACACGGGGAGGUAGUGACAAUAAAUAACAAUACGGGGUCCUUUCGGGUCUCGUAAUUGGAAUGAGUACAAUUUAAAUCUCUUAACGAGGAACAAUUGGAGGGCAAGUCUGGUGCCAGCAGCCGCGGUAAUUCCAGCUCCAAUAGCGUAUAUUAAAGUUGUUGCAGUUAAAAAGCUCGUAGUUGAAUUUCGGGAUCAGUACGCUGGUCGUGCCUUCGGUAUGCACUGGUGUCACUGGUUCCUCCCUUCUGAAGAACCGUCAUGCCAUUCAGUUGGUGUGGCGGGGAAUCAGGACUGUUACUUUGAAAAAAUUAGAGUGUUUAAAGCAGGCUCGCGCUUGAAUACAUUAGCAUGGAAUAAUGAAAUAGGACGUUAAUCCUAUUUUGUUGGUUUCUAGGAUCGACGUAAUGAUUAAUAGGGAUAGUUGGGGGCAUUAGUAUUCAAUUGUCAGAGGUGAAAUUCUUGGAUUUAUUGAAGACUAACUACUGCGAAAGCAUUUGCCAAGGAUGUUUUCAUUAAUCAAGAACGAAAGUUAGGGGAUCGAAGACGAUCAGAUACCGUCGUAGUCUUAACCAUAAACUAUGCCGACUAGGGAUCGGAUGAUGUUAAUUUUUUAAUGACUCAUUC
rnacentral:rRNA from 1 species